rnacentral:lncRNA from 1 species
AUUUCUGCCUGCCCCUGGUUGGUACCUUUGCCUUGUGGAUUGUUUACUCGGUGUGGACUUUGUUCUGGAUUCGGCUGUUCCUGGUUUGGACUUUUGUGGACUGUUUGUGUCUGAUCCUCCGGUUCCAUAGGGGGCGCUAUGGAGUCCAAAAAGCUGAAGUUCAUGAAGUCGUUUUCAUCGUGUUUUCAGAAUAAGGGGUUAAGGAACCACCGACGCCCUCUUUAAAGGAAGAGACAUCAGCACGCCAGGAGACGAGCACAUGAGGACAGAGGGGACAACAUGACAGCGGCCGGGCUGCGGAGGAGUCCACAUCAUCACGUAUUGACAAGUACCAAAACCCUGUCAUACUAUUAACCCCCUUCAUUUAGCUGCAGUGGUUACUGUAAGCUCAUCAAUACAGCCAAUCAAUGCAUGCAUAAUGGCAGCCGGUGGAUACAGCAGCUGAUGACACAUGGCGGCAGAUUAAUAUUCAUAAACCCCCCCCGCAGGCCUGUGUUUUGUUAGAGGGUCGAUAAAUGUUCAAUGAGAGGUGAUAGUCGGGGUUAAUUGCUCAAACAAAAAGGUCAGAUCAAUUAUUGACAGAGUGUGUGUGGAGGAAGAGGAGCAGAGGUCACCGUGCUGAGGAGGAGGAUUUGUGACCCUGUGGCUGAGGAUGGAAGUGCGAGGAAGAGGAAUGUCUGUUCGGAAAAAUGAGAAAUAGAAUGCGUGGUGGCUUUGUGUGUUUGUUGGCUAACUGCUGCAGCACCACCACAGUUUGAUCUGUAAUCAGCUCAUAAACUUAAAUUACGAUAUUUAAAACUUAGAUAUGUGAACAUGGAGCCAGCCUUCAAGUGGCCAGUCGAGGAACUGCAGUUUGUUUGUAUUUCUGCAUUGUCUGUCAGCAUCUUGGUGGUUGGUUCCUGGUGAGAUUGAAGAGCACCGUACUGAUGCUAGCAGAAUAACGGACCGUGCUGUAGGACAUAUCAGCAGAAUUAGGAAUUAGAAUAUUUCUGUGAUGCUGAUGUGCUCCUCCUGAAGUCUUUUCACUGGCUGCCGAUCAGGUCCUGGAGAGUGAACUCUGAUUUCCCACAAUCCUCCACAGAAGCAGCUUCUUACAUCCUGUGACUAAUGUCAUAAUGAACGACUGCUGCAGGAGGCGCGCAGAUAAAAAGACGAGAUGCUGUGA